CCACCUGCAAUUCUGCAGCCUAUCACUCCCUUGCCGUUAUUGGGACAGCAUUUUCCUUUCUGCUCUCAUGCUCUUGUUCUUGUCUGGUUAUUCUCUUUGCUGUGCACCUGCAAACUCUGACAUUGUGAGAAUCCCACCCUUUGCUCCACUCCUCCCCCUCUUCCCCCCUCUCCUCCAUUUUUCUACCUCAUAUUUCAUAGCCUUUGAUUUAUAACAGAGAAAAAACAAGUCUUAGCUGAUAGCUUAGUAUUAACUGCAGUAGUAUCCAUAUCAUUUGCACAAAGCUUAGCUACCUGUCAGCCUGCAACACUUGUGUCUCAUCAAAGCAUGCUGCAAUCAACACAGAGUGCAUCAGAAGUGUAGAAAAACAAUAGAGAUUCUGAGUAGGUCCCAAUGAAGAACACACUGUACAAUGGUUUUGUGACUGACUAGGGGGGAGACACAGUGCAGUGAAAAUCAUCCUCAUUGUCAUGGAAAAUGCAACAAGAGCAUAAGGAGCAACAGAAGCCAGCAAUAAAACACUCUCCCCCAGUCCAAGCACACAGCAGCCAGCUCAGAGGAAAAAAGACCAACAGCCCAAACCCGGAGACCAGAAGCAGCAACCAGAAACAGAAAGCCUCUCAUGUUACAAUCUGAACUUCAAGCCCCAUGACACUGUGCUCCAGCCUGCACUUUGGUUUCCAAGCUGGCAUGAUGUCAGCCUGGUAUUGAACACACAUCUGCAGAUUCAGUUGGUUAAACCCAUGAGGAUGUGUAACAGUGUUCCUAAGCUGAACUCAUCUCAGUCCCAAGUCUGUUGUCCCUUAAGGAUCUUCAUCUCUUUAAAACCUUUUAUUUCCAGUGUGCUGUGCUUGAACCACAGGUUGCAUAAUCAGGUGGUUUCUCUUUGAGACAAGCAGGUUUAGACAGAACUGUUUUCAGUUCAGUUUCAGUGAAGAAGGUGAUACCAGAAGGUCUUGCAUCUUCAGCUAUUACUGUAAGCAAUUGUUUUAAAUGGCAUCCUGUCCAGCACAGGUUGCUGGGCUGAGGUUGCAUUGGUCCAAGGGGAGAUAAUACAAGAAUCUUAAGGACCCAGUGGCCUGCACAGAUAAGAUCUCACAGGAUGUGAACUAUGGGUGACAAAGGGAUUCCCCUCACUCAGAAGGGUGCUUGAAA